AAUGAACGUUGGCGGCGUGGAUUAGGCAUGCGAGUCGUGCGAGAACCGUAGCAAUACGGGGACAGCGGCGAAAGGGAGAGGAACACGUGGAUACCUACCCUCAGGUUCAGGAUAGCUAUGGGAAACUAUAGGUAAUACUGAAUAAUAUCUCCGGAUCAAAGGUGUGAUUCCACCUGAGGAGGGGUCCGCGUCCUAUUAGCUAGUUGGUGAGGUAAUGGCUCACCAAGGCGAAGAUGGGUACGGGAUGUGAGAGCAUGAUCCCGCUCAUUGGGACUGAGACACUGCCCAGACACCUACGGGUGGCUGCAGUCGAGAAUCUUCGGCAAUGGGGGAAACCCUGACCGAGCGACGCCGCGUGUGAGAUGAAGGCCUUCGGGUUGUAAAUCACUGUCAGUGGGGAGGAAAUGCAGAUGGGUUCUCCCAUUUGUUUGACCUAUCCGCAGAGGAAGGACGGGCUAAGUUCGUGCCAGCAGCCGCGGUAAGACGAACCGUCCAAACGUUAUUCGGAAUCACUGGGCUUAAAGGGUGCGUAGGCGGUCCGGGAAGUUGGGUGUGAAAGCCCUCGGCUCAACCGAGGAAUUGCGUCCAAAACUGCCGGACUUGAGGGAGACAUAGGUGAGCGGAACCUAGGGUGGAGCGGUGAAAUGCGUUGAGAUCCUAGGGAACACCAGUAGCGAAAGCGGCUCACUGGGUCUCUUCUGACGCUGAUGCACGAAAGCUAGGGGAGCGAAGAGGAUUAGAUACCCUCGUAGUCCUAGCCGUAAACGAUGAGCACUGGUUUGGAGGGUCCUCCAUAGCCUUCCAGACGUAGCGAAAGUGUUAAGUGCUCCGCCUGGGGAGUAUGGUCGCAAGGCUG
rnacentral:rRNA from 1 species